GCCCUAGUAACGGCGAGUGAAGCGGCAACAGCUCAAAUUUGAAAUCUGGCCUUCGGGUCCGAAUUGUAAUUUGUAGAGGAUGCUUUUGGUGCGGUGCCUUCCGAGUUCCUUGGAACAGGACGCCUUAGAGGGUGAGAGCCCCGUACGGUUGGACACCAAGCCUAUGUAAAGCUCCUUCGACGAGUCGAGUAGUUUGGGAAUGCUGCUCUAAAUGGGAGGUAAAUUUCUUCUAAAGCUAAAUACCGGCCAGAGACCGAUAGCGCACAAGUAGAGUGAUCGAAAGAUGAAAAGUACUUUGAAAAGAGGGUUAAAUAGCACGUGAAAUUGUUGAAAGGGAAGCGUUUAUGACCAGACCUUCGUCGGGCGGAUCAUCCGGUGUUCUUCACCGGUGCACUUCGCCCGGCUUAGGCCAGCAUCGGUUUUCGUAGGGGGAUAAAGGUCUAGGGAACGUAGCUCCCUCCGGGGAGUGUUAUAGCCCUGGGCGUAAUACCCUUACGGGGACCGAGGUUCGCGCUCCGGCAAGGAUGCUGGCGUAAUGGUCAUCAACGACCCGUCUUGAAACACGGACCAAGGAGUCGAACAUUUAUGCGAGUGUUUGGGUGUUAAACCCUCACGCGUAAUGAAAGUGAACGGAGGUGAGAGCCCGUACGGGUGCAUCAUCGACCGAUCCUGAUGUCUUCGGAUGGAUUUGAGUAAGAGCAUAACUGUUCGGACCCGAAAGAUGGUGAACUAUGCGUGGAUAGGGUGAAGCCAGAGGAAACUCUGGUGGAGGCUCGCAGCGGUUCUGACGUGCAAAUCGAUCGUCAAAUCUGCGCAU
rnacentral:rRNA from 1 species